rnacentral:rRNA from 1 species
AUUGAACGCUGGCGGCAGGCCUAACACAUGCAAGUCGAGCGGAGCGGCGGACGGGUGAGUAAUGCCUAGGAAUCUGCCUGGUAGUGGGGGAUAACGUCCGGAAACGGGCGCUAAUACCGCAUACUAGCAGCUGAGGCUGGGUCGGAUUAGUUAGUUGGGGGGGUAAGGGCAUACCAAGGCGACGAUCCGUAACUGGUCUGAGAGGAUGAUCAGUCACACUGGAACUGAGACACGGUCCAGACUCCUACGGGAGGCAGUAGUGGGGAAUAUUGGACAAUGGGCGAAAGCCUGAUCCAGCCAUGCCGCGUGUGUGAAGAAGGUCUUCGGAUUGUAAAGCACUUUAAGUUGGGAGGCGUUACCAACAGAAUAAGCACCGGCUAACUUCGUGCCAGCAGCCGCGGUAAUAC